AGGUGAACCUGCGGAAGGAUCAUUACCGAGUUCAUGCCCUUCGGGGUAGAUCUCUCACCCUUUGUAUACUAUACCUUUGUUGCUUUGGCGGGCCGCCUAGCUACUGGCUUCGGCUGGUAAGUGCCCGCCAGAGAACCCAAAACCCUGAAUUAUUAGUGUCGUCUGAGUAAAAUAUUUAAUAUUUAAAACUUUCAACAACGGAUCUCUUGGCUCUGG
rnacentral:misc_RNA from 1 species